UACGGAGGGAGCUAGCGUUGUUCGGAAUCAUUGGGUUUAAAGGGUCCGUAGGCGGUUUAAUAAGUCAGUGGUGAAAGCCCAUCGCUCAACGGUGGAACGGCCAUUGAUACUGUUAGACUUGAAUUAUUAGGAAGUAACUAGAAUAUGUAGUGUAGCGGUGAAAUGCUUAGAGAUUACAUGGAAUACCAAUUGCGAAGGCAGGUUACUACUAAUUGAUUGACGCUGAUGGACGAAAGCGUGGGGAGCAAACAGG
rnacentral:rRNA from 1 species